UGGGGAAUAUUACACAAUGGGCGAAAGCCUGAUGCAGCAACGCCGCGUGAGUGAUGAAGGUCUUCGGAUUGUAAAGCUCUGUCUUUUGGGACGAUAAUGACGGUACCAAAGGAGGAAGCCACGGCUAACUACGUGCCAGCAGCCGCGGUAAUACGUAGGUGGCGAGCGUUGUCCGGAUUUACUGGGCGUAAAGGGUGCGUAGGCGGAUGUUUAAGUGAGAUGUGAAAUACCCGGGCUUAACUUGGGUGCUGCAUUUCAAACUGGAUAUCUAGAGUGCAGGAGAGGAGAAUGGAAUUCCUAGUGUAGCGGUGAAAUGCGUAGAGAUUAGGAAGAACACCAGUGGCGAAGGCGAUUCUCUGGACUGUAACUGACGCUGAGGCACGAAAGCGUGGGUAGCAAACAGGAUUAGAUACCCUGGUAGUCCACGCCGUAAACGAUGAGUACUAGGUGUAGGAGGUAUCGACCCCUUCUGUGCCGCAGUAAACACAUUAACGUACUCCGCCUGGGAAGUACGA
rnacentral:rRNA from 1 species